UACGUAGGGGGCUGGCGUUGUCCGGAAUCAUUGGGCGUAAAGAGCGUGUAGGCGGUCCGGUAAGUCCGCUGUGAAAGUCGGGGGCUCAACCCUCGAAUGCCGGUGGAUACUGUCGGGCUAGAGUGCGGAAGAGGCGAGUGGAAUUCCUGGUGUAGCGGUGAAAUGCGCAGAUAUCAGGAGGAACACCUAUUGUGAAGGCAGCUCGCUGGGACGUUACUGACGCUGAGACGCGAAAGCGUGGGGAGCAAACAGG
rnacentral:rRNA from 1 species